rnacentral:sRNA from 1 species
AUCUAUCAGAUGGGUGGACGUAUACAU